rnacentral:rRNA from 2 species
GGAAGAUUACUAAUGAGAGUGGCGAACGGGUGAGUAACGCGUGAGCAACCUGCCUAUGACAGUGGGAUAGCCUCGGGAAACCGGGAUUAAUACCGCAUAAAAUCGUAGAAACACAUGUUUCAACGGUCAAAGAUUUAUCGGUCAUAGAUGGGCUCGCGUCUGAUUAGCUAGUUGGUGAGAUAACAGCCCACCAAGGCGACGAUCAGUAGCCGGUCUGAGAGGAUGAACGGCCACAUUGGAACUGAGACACGGUCCAAACUCCUACGGGAGGCAGCAGUGGGGAAUAUUGCACAAUGGGGGAAACCCUGAUGCAGCGACGCCGCGUGAACGAAGAAGGUAUUCGUAUCGUAAAGUUCUGUCCUAUGGGAAGAUAAUGACAGUACCAUAGAAGAAAGCUCCGGCUAAAUACGUGCCAGCAGCCGCGGUAAUACGUAUGGAGCGAGCGUUGUCCGGAAUUAUUGGGCGUAAAGGGUACGCAGGCGGUUUAAUAAGUCGAAUGUUAAAGAUCGGGGCUCAACCCCGUAAAGCAUUGGAAACUGAUAAACUUGAGUAGUGGAGAGGAAAGUGGAAUUCCUAGUGUAGUGGUGAAAUACGUAGAUAUUAGGAAGAAUACCGGUGGCGAAGGCGACUUGCUGGACACAAACUGACGCUGAGGAACGAAAGCGUGGGUAGCAAACAGGAUUAGAUACCCUGGUAGUCCACGCCGUAAACGAUGAGUGCUAGGUGUCGGGGG